UUUUUGUCCCCGGGAGGGGAAAAGAGGACGAGGUAAAGAGAAGUGGUCUAAAUAGGACAGGGGGCAAGGAAGACUGGGGGGCAUGAGGGUCAAAAGUAGUGAAGCUCUUUUGGGGCGCACCGCACUUCCCCCCUCUAGGCCUUUGCAGUCGCCCUCUCCGCCGCGGACACUGGAGAGUUAAGCCAAUAAACACGUAAGCGCCGCUCGCUCCCCAAUCGGCAAGAUGCCUCUCCUGCUCUUGGCUGCAUCGACAGCUUGCAACACUCGGCAUCUUUUCUGGAGGCGCCUUCUUCAGCGGCUGCAGAUGGCAUCCGGCUGCGGGCUCCGGGCUCGCAAUUGAUUCUCGCCCUUGCCCACCUCGGGUGCACACACGCACCUCUCCCUUCUCCUCCUCCCCUCGCGCUCCUGGGUCUGCGCUCAGCUCGCGCUCGCCGGGCGGAGGAAGCAGUCGCGGCGGCCGAAGCUGAGCAGCAGCGCUCGCUCUCCCUGACCUAGGAAGAAGCGCCUACCCGGACAGCCGACCCUUGGCUGCCUCCAGCGCCCCCCACCUUUUGCACCCCAAGGCGGGGGCUCCGGGGACCCCCCUCUCCCAGGCGCUACCAUGCUGGACCCUUCGUCCAGCGAAGAGGAGUCAGAUGAGAUCCUGGAAGAGGAGAGGGGCAAGGAUGUGCUGGGCUCGGCCGCGUCUGGAGCGCGCCUGUCUCCCAGCCGCACCAGCGAGGGCUCGGCAGGCAGCGCCGGGAUGGGGGGCAGUGGCGCCGGGGCCGGGGUGGGCGCCGGCGGCGGUGGGGGUAGCGGCGCGAGCAGCGGCGGCGGGGCCGGGGGGCUGCAGCCCAGCAGCCGCGCCGGCGGCGGCCGGCCUUCCAGCCCUAGCCCGUCGGUGGUGAGCGAGAAGGAGAAGGAAGAGUUGGAGAGGCUGCAGAAGGAGGAGGAAGAGAGGAAGAAGAGGCUGCAGCUGUACGUGUUCGUGAUGCGCUGCAUCGCCUACCCCUUCAACGCCAAGCAGCCCACCGACAUGGCUCGGCGGCAGCAGAAGAUCAGCAAACAGCAGCUACAGACUGUCAAAGACCGGUUCCAGGCUUUUCUCAAUGGGGAGACCCAAAUCGUAGCUGAUGAAGCCUUUAUGAAUGCUGUCCAGAGCUACUAUGAGGUGUUUCUCAAGAGUGACCGUGUGGCCCGCAUGGUGCAGAGUGGGGGCUGCUCAGCCAAUGACUCUCGGGAGGUCUUCAAGAAACACAUCGAGAAGAGGGUGCGCAGCCUACCUGAGAUUGACGGCCUCAGCAAGGAGACAGUGCUAAGCUCUUGGAUGGCCAAGUUUGAUGCCAUCUACCGUGGUGAGGAGGACCCCAGGAAGCAGCAAGCCCGGAUGACAGCCAGUGCAGCUUCUGAGUUGAUUCUGAGCAAGGAACAGCUCUAUGAGAUGUUUCAGAACAUUCUUGGGAUCAAGAAGUUUGAACAUCAACUCCUGUAUAAUGCCUGUCAGCUGGACAAUCCAGAUGAGCAGGCAGCCCAGAUCAGACGAGAGCUGGAUGGACGUCUCCAAAUGGCAGAUCAAAUAGCCAGGGAACGCAAAUUUCCUAAGUUCGUAUCCAAAGAAAUGGAAAACAUGUACAUUGAGGAGCUGAAGUCCUCCGUCAACCUGCUCAUGGCCAACUUGGAGAGCAUGCCGGUGUCCAAGGGUGGAGAGUUCAAGCUACAGAAACUGAAACGCAGUCACAAUGCUUCCAUCAUUGACAUGGGUGAGGAGAGUGAGAACCAGCUUUCUAAGUCAGAUGUCCUGCUGUCCUUCUCCUUGGAGGUGGUGAUCAUGGAAGUCCAAGGCCUUAAGUCCUUGGCUCCAAAUCGAAUUGUAUACUGCACAAUGGAGGUGGAGGGUGGAGAGAAACUUCAGACAGAUCAAGCAGAGGCUUCUAAACCAACCUGGGGCACUCAAGGCGACUUCUCCACAACCCAUGCGCUGCCAGCUGUUAAAGUAAAACUAUUCACAGAGAGCACUGGUGUCCUGGCCUUGGAAGACAAGGAACUCGGGCGGGUGAUCCUCCAUCCCACCCCAAAUAGCCCCAAACAAUCUGAGUGGCACAAAAUGACAGUCUCCAAAAACUGCCCCGAUCAAGACCUCAAAAUCAAACUUGCUGUCCGAAUGGAUAAGCCUCAAAACAUGAAGCACUCUGGGUACUUAUGGACCAUUGGUAAGAAUGUGUGGAAGAGGUGGAAGAAGAGGUUCUUUGUGUUGGUGCAGGUCAGCCAGUACACUUUUGCCAUGUGCAGCUAUCGAGAAAAGAAGGCAGAGCCUCAGGAACUCCUACAGCUGGACGGCUACACCGUGGAUUACACCGACCCUCAGCCAGGUUUGGAGGGUGGCCGAGCCUUCUUCAAUGCAGUCAAAGAAGGAGACACGGUGAUAUUUGCAAGUGAUGAUGAACAAGAUCGAAUUUUGUGGGUCCAAGCUAUGUACAGGGCCACUGGCCAGUCGCACAAACCUGUUCCCCCUACCCAGGUGCAGAAGCUCAACGCCAAGGGCGGAAAUGUGCCUCAGCUGGAUGCCCCCAUCUCACAAUUUUCUGGACUGAAGGACGCAGAUAGAGCUCAGAAGCAUGGCAUGGAUGAAUUUAUCUCUUCCAACCCCUGUAACUUUGACCACGCUUCCCUCUUUGAGAUGGUGCAGCGGCUGACUUUGGAUCACAGACUUAAUGAUUCCUAUUCUUGCCUGGGCUGGUUCAGUCCUGGCCAGGUGUUUGUGUUAGAUGAGUAUUGCGCCAGAAAUGGAGUCCGAGGAUGUCACCGGCAUCUCUGCUACCUUAGAGACUUGCUGGAACGAGCAGAAAAUGGCGCGAUGAUUGACCCCACGCUUCUUCACUACAGCUUUGCCUUCUGCGCGUCCCAUGUCCAUGGUAACAGUCAACAAAUGCAUGUGUAUCUUAGUGGGCUGCUAUCAAACACAGACUUUCAAGGGGGCAAAUCUCCACCUUCUCCUGAACCAGAGAUUAAAAAAGAUUCACGAAGAGAAUCAAAAAAAAGAAAAGAGUCUAAACCUCACCCAAGUCAAGAACAAAAAAGGCCUGAUGGAAUCGGAACUGUGACUGUUGAAGAAAAAGAACGCUUUGAAGAAAUCAAAGAGAGACUCCGAGUUCUGCUGGAAAAUCAAAUUACACAUUUCAGGUACUGCUUUCCAUUUGGUCGACCUGAAGGUGCUUUGAAAGCUACUCUCUCACUCUUGGAACGGGUUUUGAUGAAAGAUAUUGUCACUCCAGUACCACAAGAAGAGGUCAAAACUGUCAUCCGUAAAUGCCUAGAGCAGGCUGCUCUAGUCAACUACUCACGCCUAUCUGAGUAUGCCAAAAUUGAAGGGAAAAAGAGAGAAAUGUAUGAGCAUCCUGUCUUCUGCUUGGCCUCCCAAGUGAUGGAUUUAACCAUUCAGAAUCAAAAGGAUGCAGAAAAUGUAGGCCGCUUAAUCACUCCCGCCAAAAAGCUCGAAGACACAAUCCGUCUUGCUGAACUAGUCAUCGAAGUACUGCAACAAAACGAGGAGCACCACGCCGAGGGGAAAGAGCCACAUGUUGAUAAAGGAGAAGCCUUUGCGUGGUGGUCAGACUUAAUGGUGGAGCAUGCGGAGACGUUCCUGUCACUCUUUGCAGUGGACAUGGAUGCAGCCUUAGAGGUGCAACCCCCAGACACGUGGGACAGUUUCCCACUCUUCCAGCUGCUGAAUGACUUUCUCCGUACAGACUAUAAUUUGUGCAAUGGAAAGUUUCACAAACACCUGCAGGACCUGUUCGCCCCACUUGUUGUUAGAUAUGUGGAUCUGAUGGAGUCCUCCAUUGCACAAUCUAUCCACAGGGGCUUUGAGCGGGAGUCAUGGGAGCCAGUCAAGAGUUUAACCAGUAACCUACCCAAUGUGAACCUACCCAAUGUGAACCUACCCAAAGUACCAAAUCUACCAGUUAACAUCCCUCUAGGCAUCCCACAGAUGCCCACUUUUUCGGCACCGUCAUGGAUGGCUGCUAUAUAUGAUGCUGAUAAUGGAUCAGGUACAUCAGAAGAUUUGUUCUGGAAACUUGAUGCCCUUCAGACUUUCAUCCGUGACCUACACUGGCCUGAGGAAGAGUUUGGAAAACACUUAGAGCAGCGGCUAAAACUGAUGGCAAGUGACAUGAUUGAGUCCUGCGUCAAAAGAACCAGGAUUGCAUUUGAAGUUAAGCUGCAAAAAACCAGUCGAUCAACAGAUUUUCGAGUCCCACAGUCAAUAUGCACCAUGUUUAAUGUUAUGGUUGAUGCCAAAGCUCAAUCAACAAAACUUUGCAGCAUGGAAAUGGGCCAAGAGCAUCAAUACCAUUCAAAAAUAGAUGAACUAAUUGAAGAAACCGUUAAAGAAAUGAUCACACUUUUGGUGGCAAAGUUUGUAACUAUAUUGGAAGGCGUACUGGCAAAGUUAUCCAGAUAUGACGAGGGGACUUUGUUUUCUUCGUUUCUGUCAUUCACGGUGAAGGCAGCUUCCAAGUAUGUGGACGUGCCUAAACCCGGGAUGGACGUGGCCGACGCCUACGUGACUUUCGUCCGCCAUUCUCAGGAUGUCCUUCGUGAUAAGGUCAAUGAGGAGAUGUAUAUAGAAAGGUUAUUUGAUGCUCUUGUGUCUCUGCCGUGUCUGUUAUCCUGCAUCCUGCAUCCUGGUGUGGCUGUGUCUGCAUCCCAGUCUGUGUGAUAUGUGGACGGUACACAGCCUCCCAGCAAGCAGGCACAUUCUGCACGAAGCUGUAGAGGCAGACUCCUUGAACUGGCAAAGGCCUUCUUCCAUCCCCAUUCUCCUCCUUGCAAUCUGGCCGUUUGUAGAGGACAUGUUCCCACUGGUGAUGCUGAGACCAGCACCACCUCUCCUGGGGGUAGUGCCUCCUUGAUGCCAGCUGUGGUAUGCAGAUGUGCAAUAAAUGUCACAUUGUUAUGUCUUCCAACGUGUUAGAACUUCUGUAAAACGAGACAACUUCCAUCCUGGGUGUUGCCAAAGGCUUAUAUGUGAGUCACUUGGUCAGUUCCUUUUGUAAUCCAUGGUGCUUCCUGUCCAUCCACCUACCUCAGUAAGUCCAGUGAAAACCAAAUGCACGGCGGUGCAGGGGGCGCGGGGGGUGCCAUGUCAAUGCAAACCAAAACACAGAAAAUGCAGGCUUCCUUGCACCCACAGAAGUAGCUCUCAGGAAGACUUAUUGCCACUGCAAAGUAAGCCACUGAGAUCAAAAGGCAUCGAUCUCAAACUGUCUGCCCAUCUGAAGCCAUUGCAGAUAGAGUUACCUCAUGUAGCCAGGUACAUUGCUUCUAGGUUCCCCCAAAUCUACCUGCAAAGACCUGGCCAGAGUGCACUGGAGAUGACGUCCUCGUCCUCGUCUACUUCCUCCCCCUGAAACGUGGGCCCUCCUGUCCAGGCUUUCGUCGUUGUAAUGCCAGCCGGAACAUUACUGUCUUGCUCAAGUGUGGAACCCUUGUUUCUGUAUUUUUCCCGUAACUGUGUUCACCAAUUGACGCUGCGUUUUGUAUGUUUUUGUCCCGUAGCUAAAUGAGCUCAUUGUUGGCACCGCUCUCUGAUUCUGAAUUUCUAUGCUUUGUCUUCCAGCUCAUUGACUUUCCUGGUGUGCUCAAAAGGCUUCUUUCUGUCUCCUCUUCUCUUCUCUUCUCUUCUCUUCUCUUCUCUUCUCUUCUCUUCUCUUCUCUUCUCUUCUCUUCUCUUCUCUCCUCUCCUCUGUUCCAUGCCCUAUACCCCUCUCUCCCUGUCGCACCUUCCUUUGAUAAAACCCCUCUUACUUUUUAAUUCCCACUUGUCCUCUCUCAGAUGAAAAUGGAACUUAUCUCUCAUGUCAAAUGUUUUAUCACAUUAUAUCAAGUGGCAUGAAUUAGAAUCAAAUAAUCUUCCUGUGUACAUCUUCUAGCAUGGCCCACAUCCACCGAGAAUGCCUCAUACAUGCAUAAAACUCACCAGUGGGGCCUCCCCUCAUACAUGCAAAAAGUUCACCAGUGGGGCCUCCCCCUCUCUGCAUGCGUGCCUCUAGCAAAGGCCUGAGCCCAGUUAGUCUGGGGGAACUGUUGCCCAUCCAAUAGGCAUUGAAAACAGCUGCAGCAGCACCCUCAGGUCUAUGCCUAGACGUGUAGACUCUGCCCAUCUCCACUGAAUCCAAGUCCAAACUACAAAUUUUCAAGAAGCUUGUGGGUGGCUCUUUUCAAUGCCUAGGUUGCCUUGGUUUUCUGUUUUUCUUUGAUGGUAUCUUCUGGUAUUCAGCUUUAUGGUGUGUGUGUGUGUGUGUGUGUGUGUGUGUGUGUGUGUGUGUGUAUUCCUCUAUGAAUUUGUGUGCAAAUAACCUAUGAUCCCUGAAACUUUAAAACAUCUAGUACAGAAUCUGAAGCUUACUCUCUGAUUUAGCCUGGCUCUUCACUGACAAAUGAUCCACCUUUCUACUACUUUUUUAAAAGUAUAAAUACAAGGAGGAAUUUUUGUUUGAAGGUAUUCCUGCCGAAGGCUGUGAGGCAAAUGGUCUUUUGAGUGGCUCUUUGUAUGGGAAUUGCAAUCAAAUCUUCACUUGGAAGUUAAAAGGGAGCCUUAUCUGGCACAGAUGGGGAAAAUGGACUUCCUAACUAGGAGAACACAAGCACAUUCCAGCCCUCUGGGCUUUAGUGUGAACCGAUAAUUAAAAGAAAUAUUCCUAAUAUACUUUGCAGAAGCAAGUUCUGUUUUGGGGUGUUUGUGGUGGGGAGGUAGUGGUUUUCAAAAAUUCACAAGUAGUAAUAGUCCACUGAGCCAGCAUCUAUGGCAGCAGUAAAUCUCUGAGAAACCACACACACGCACACAUUACACAUACAGAGUUUAAUUUCAGAUUGCCCCAAUUUUCUUUUCCCAAUACAAUCUUUACUCUCCUCCUCUGAGUGGAUGAUUUUGCCACUCUAACCAUGAUAACUCUUCUAUGCAUUUCACCCUAACCUUAUAUAGAGAAAAAAAAAUCACUCUUUUAAAAGCUUAUUCAGACUUGAAUUUCUUGGCCAUUUACUUCCUUAUUCUCCAAAUAACCAGGUCCCCUAAUUUACGGAUUCUAUCGGUGCUAAGCAACCUAACUGUGAUACAAAAAAAAAAAAAAAAAGUUAUUGAAUCUGUCAUGGAUUUAAAACAUUUGUCAUUUAAAAACCCAGAGCUUCUCCAAAGCUUCAUUACCAUGCAGCUUCGGUAAUUUAAUUCAGUACUUACUGUUUUUCUAUAAUCUAGCGGCAAAUCAUCAGAUUACCAACAUGUUUGAUUAUUUUCGGCUUCUGUUUCCUCAAGCAUGGUGUUUACUCCUUUGCAUACAUGCUCUGUUAAACUCUUGUGUCCAGUGAGAUGAACUGGUAACGGGAAUAUCGAAGCAAAAGGGGUCUCAUGAAAGCUGCCAGUCCACAGUUCUUAUUACAGUGAACUAACGCUCUCUACCCCGCUCUCUAAUGAUAGGGUCCUGGGAUGGCUUCCUAAACAAUUGGCAGAAAACUAUUGAGAAAUACUUGUUGAUCUGAGAUAUUUCUCUUCCAAAUUGUUGCAUUUUGAUAAAUGGCAGAAAUGAAUAAUAGCAAAUUAGCAUUUUGAAUGAUGAAAAAAUAUAGAUCUCUGAGAUUGUUUGCGGUUUGGGGGUUGUUGGUUCUGACUGCCGUGUCUCUCCGGUUCUCUUCCUGCUGGCAUCUGUCACUUGAGAAGCAUGUUCUGAGACUCCUUGUUGUGUGUUUCCGUGUUUCCAGUCUUAGCUUUGUUUACCUGAUAAAUCCCCUGAGAUCUUGUUCUUUGGUAUCUUUUUCCACCCUCCCUAUUACUUUGUGCACCCUUGCAGGAAGGCUGGAUGGCUUUUGAUAUAUGUUUGUGAGAAAAAUUUGGAAUUCUAGCUGGUCAUGUAUUGGCUUGUUUGAUGUUGUAACAAGGUUGCUUGCCGGUGAUUUCUGAGCUGGGCUUGUUCUUUUUUUCUCCUCUGCUUCAUCGCUGUAUUUUGGCUGGGAGCGGGGGUUUGUGGGAGAUUGUCAGAGCAGCAGUGCGGGCUCUGUGUGUGAUGCUCUGAAUUGUGUAUUUACUUUAUUAUAUAACUUAAGAGCAGACUUUCCACAUUAAUCUCUACCAUUUUAAAAAAUCAAGCAUUCUGUAGGAUUUUGGAGAAAUGCAUUUAGAUAUAGUACUGCCUAAACAGAUUUUUUUUCCAGUGAAAGUUUCCCUGUUUAGUAACAUAGUUGCUUUAUAUAUUCUUUCUAUAAAGUACCAACAUUAUAUAUUCAAUAAUAUAUCUUUAAGACUGACUUCAUCAAUUUAAAAUAAUAGUCUGAUGAAGACGAAUCCCAGGACCAUUCCCCAUGGUACUUUUAGAUGCCAAACAAACAUUCUUAUCUGCUUUUUUUAUUUUUCAGGGAAAAAGAAUGAAGCACAAUUAUACUGUUUUCACUUGCUGAAAAAUAAGAUUUUAAUAUUUAGACACAAAAUAUUCAGACAUUUAAAUGAAGUGAAUAUCAUAAUAAGUGUAGCAGUGGAUUAAAAUCAUUUCAGAGGAGCUAAAUUUUUAGAGGAAAAUUGCAUUAGUCUAAGAUUCGAGAGGAAGCUUUGCCUCCUUGUCAAUUAUCGAUGCUUUAUAAAGAAAAUAAAAAGCAGAGAUCACAAUAAGCUUUGUGUUCUGAAAGUAGCAGCUAAGGGAGGAUGCUCAGGCUGGAGUAAUAGCUUGCCUUUCCUCCGCCUUUGGUGAUUAGUUCAGCAUCUCCCUCAAAACAAAACAAAACAAAACAAAACAAAGGCGAGAGAGAGAGAGAGAGAGAGAGAGAGAGAGAGAGAGAGAGAAAGGAAGAAAGGGAGAAAGGAAGAAAGAAAGGAAGAAAGAAAGAGAGAGAAGGAAGGAAGAGAAGGAAGGAAGGGAGAGAGAGAGAAAGAAAGAAAGGUGCUUUCUGAAAUUAGACAUCAGAUCAAGAGAAGCACCUAAGAUUUCAAGGUCUAAGCAAAAAUUAAUUUAUUUUCUUUCCUCCUUGUACUUCUUGAAGAUACAGACUGAGAAGAAAAUCGGGAUUAAAAGAGAUGUGCUUAGGGUGAAUUCAUCUGCUUAAACCUCGCAGGCUCAAAGAUGAAUGAUUAAAAAGCCAUCUCAAACUUGGCCGGAGUCCACGCUGCUGGUAAUGCCGCAUCCGCUCCAGCUUUCUCCUGCCGGCCCCGUGUCACUGUGAACCAGACCCAGGAACAUUUGACUAGAGAUGAUACAUGGAUUAUCUAGGUCAAUUAUACACUUAAUCUGCCUUCUGGAGGAUUAAGCAUUUACAGAUAGACUCUGCAUUUGGCUUCUCCCUGGCAGUUAUCAGAUCAGGAAAAGGCCCCUUAUCACACAGCCUUGUGCGAGCUUAAUCAGGCAGUGUGGACAGAUUCAGGGGCUCUGCCGCCUGGCAUUCUCCGCCUUGCACAGAUUCCCAUUUGCUGUUCCAUUUUCAAAUCGAGUAUUUGUUCACUUUACGUGGCAGCACAAUAAUUGGGUGUGAAUAUUUUCCUCUAAAACGGUAAUUUGAAACAUGAACCCUCUGCCUAUUAAAAUAUGCUUCCUGGCUUUAUAUACGAAUCUACUGAUGACCUUGUUUUAAUAGCCGUAUUAAAUUAUAAGGGCCUGGUGCGUGAAUGUAUGUCAAUCAAAAUAGGAACCACGCCGCUGCAGGAAGUAAGGACUGAAGAUGGGAUCCAAGGAGAACGUUGUGUUACUAAAUCUGUAAGGUAGGCCACCAACUUCCAGGUGAGGGAGCUGCUCUGAAAGCAGGCAGCAGGGAAAGGUGAGCAGGUCUCCAGGACAGAGUGUGCCAUCCUAAACCCUGGGAGCCUGAGUUCUCUCUGCUUUAGCAGUAGCCGCCUUGAAUACCCAGUAUCUGGACUUCCAAUGUGAUGAUGACAGGCACUGCUCCUAGACCAUCAGAUCAGAUCUGCAUGACAUUAGAGGUUUUUAAUCUCUUGGAGCCUUGGCUGAUUCAUCUAGGUAACAGGGAUGAUAAUAAGAGGACCUUCCUCGGGGCAUUUCGGGCAUUUCGUUGUUAGGAGAGUGAGAUGUCACCGCCAGGCGCAGCAUCGGCAACUAAGGACUCAUCCGCAAUGGUACAACAGCUCCAUGAACAUCAUCUGCACGUGGCUGACCGACAGGAUGGACCUGCAGCUCCACAUUUACCAGCUGAAAACCCUGAUCAGGAUGGUAAAGAAAACCUAUAGAGAUUUCCGAUUGCAAGGGGUCCUGGAUUCCACCUUAAACAGCAAGACCUAUGAGACCAUCCGAAACCGUCUCACUGUGGAGGAAGCUACAGCGUCAGUGAGUGAGGGUGGGGGCUUACAAGGUAUCAGCAUGAAGGACAGUGAUGAGGAAGAUGAAGAAGAUGAUUAGACCAUUCUCUGGGUCCAAGAGUCCAUUGGGAUGGAGUCCUGUAAUCAAUGCAUGUCUUUAGUCUGUUAGUUAACCCCAUUAGGUAAUUUUCUGUCAACCACCAUCCCCAUGAGAUGUUUACCAAUACAAUUACCAUUUUAGCUGCGUGGUACCAAGAUUAGCAAAUGGUUUCCUGAUUUCUGUGUCUAUAUGUUUACAAGCAAUAUGGAACACCAUUCUUAAACACUGUUCAUGGAAAGAAUACAUAGUUCAGCUGCUAGGUGUGUCCCUUUUGUUAGCAGAACAAAAUGAUGCUUCAUCCUGUACUACAGAUACACGGAUUGGAAGUGGACAUGGAAGCAAGUGUGUUUCCAUGUCUCUGUUUCAUGUAUGUGGGUACCAGGUAUUUAAAUUAGUACAUAAAUUAAUUUAAGUGCAUAGAGCUGCUUGGUUUUGGUCUCUGUUUUGUUCUUGUUUUAUGAGAAGGGGAAAAGGCAUGGUCCCAAAAACCAACUUUAGCUUUUCUCAUCCCCUAAAACUAAAAGCAAUGGACCACUUGUGUCCCAGCAAACCCAGCUUUGCAUUUAUCCAUGUAGUUUAGUUCCCCCUACCAAAAAAGUUACAUAUCAAUGGAUUAAUUAUUUUCAUUGUCAUAGCAAGGGGGCCACGUGAUCAGGAAGUAGCAUCAAGUAAGUUUCAGACCAACUGUCUUCUGUGAAAGUUUAUCCUAGUAAAUGUCACAUUUUGCUUUUCUGUUUCAAUAACUGUAUAUGUAAAAAAAAUUAUUGAAAUGAAAACCCUAGACUAUAAAUGUAUUUAUAAUAAGAUAUGGAUAUUUCCUUCAGUAGACUGUAACCAUAACUUCAAUUAUUUUGUUCCACACUGUUUUUUAUAUCUGUCAUGUACAUUGCACUUUGAUCUGUAACUGAGCGACCCUGGGGUCUGCUAUAGAGCUGUUUCUUUCUGUGGAAAGUAGUGGAUCCAUCUUGCUUUUUGCCUUAUAUAAAAGCCUACAGUUGUAAAAGUGUGGGAAACUGUGGCUCCUCAAUAAAUAAUUAUUCAAAUGUCCUAAGAA